rnacentral:rRNA from 1 species
AGAACGAACGCUGGCGGCAUGCCUAACACAUGCAAGUCGAACGCUUUUGGGGCUUCGGUCCCAAAGGAGUGGCGCACGGGUGAGUAGCGCGUGGGAACCUGCCCUGGAGUGGGGGAUAACCGAGGGAAACUUCGGCUAAUACCGCAUACGCCCGGUUUACCUCGAAAGGGGGAACCGGGGAAAGAUUUAUCGCUCUAGGAGGGGCCCGCGUCGGAUUAGCUAGUUGGUGGGGUAACGGCCUACCAAGGCUGUGAUCCGUAGCUGGUCUGAGAGGAUGAUCAGCCACACUGGGACUGAGACACGGCCCAGACUCCUACGGGAGGCAGCAGUGGGGAAUAUUGGACAAUGGGCGCAAGCCUGAUCCAGCAAUGCCGCGUGAGUGAUGAAGGCCUUCGGGUUGUAAAGCUCUUUCGCACGCGAGGAUGAUGACGCUAGCGUGAGAAGAAGCCCGGCUAACUUCGUGCCAGCAGCCGCGGUAA